UACGGGGGGAGCAAACGUUGUUCGGAAUCACUGGGCGUAAAGGGCGUGUAGGCGGUUCGGUAAGUGGAAUGUGAAAUCCCCCGGCUUACCCGGGGAACUGCAUCCCAUACUGCUGGACUUGAGUGCGGGAGAGGAUGGAGGAAUUCCUGGUGUAGCGGUGAAAUGCGUAGAUAUCAAGAGGAACACCUGAGGUGAAGACGGGUUGCUGGGCCGACACUGACGCUGACAGCGCGAAAGCCAGGGGAGCAAACGGG
rnacentral:rRNA from 1 species